rnacentral:rRNA from 1 species
GAGUGAGCUGAUUUAUAUCUGUUCAGAACCCAUUAAUUAAUGUUGCAUUAUUAUUACAAAAAUAUAUAUCAGAGGCUACAUACCUACCGCACCAAUCGAUAUCUGGUUCUUCACCAAACCAGCUUUAGCUGAAAAAGCCGAACUAGUAAACAACACCAAAAUCGGCUAUUUAAAUAAACAGGGGACAAGCCCAGUUUAAAUAUUUAUUGAAAAAAAAAAUAAAAAAAAAAGUAGGCUUAGAAUCAGCCACCCCCCAUCUCGUUAUAGAACAUAAAAAAUAAAUAUCACACCACAAUAUUCUCCAGUGAAGUAAUUAAACAAACAUAAAUUUAAUAAAACUAUGCAAAGAUCAGUAUUUUAGUAAUCAAACCACAUCUCUACCAAAAAUAUAAAAAAGGAACUCGGCAAAUAUAUAUUCCGACUGUUUAACAAAAACAUAGCCUAUAGAUAUAACCUAUUAUAGGUACUACCUGCCCAGUGAUUAUUUAAACGGCCGCGGUAUCCUGACCGUGCAAAGGUAGCGUAAUCAUUUGCCUCUUAAUUGGGGGCUAGUAUGAAUGGAUGAACGAGAAUAUAGCUGUCUCCUUUAUACCCAUAAAAAUUUACCUUCAGGUGAAGAGGCCUGAAUAAAUAUAAAAGACAAGAAGACCCUGUCGAGCUUUAAUCUAAAAUAAGAGCCAAAAUAAAUAUAUUCAUAUACACUAAAUAUAUAUAAUAUACCUUAUCGCAGAUAUUUGUUGGGGCGACAAUGGAAUAUAAUAAUCUUCCACCACACCUUCGACCACAAGUCACACCACAGACCCUAAAACGAUCCAAGGCAAGAGCUACCGCAGGGAUAACAGACUAAUCCCCCUCAAGAGCCCAAAUCUACAGGGGGGCUUGGCACCUCGAUGUUGGCUUAAGAUCUCUUUUAAGUGCAGCAGCUUAAAAAGAGGGU